rnacentral:rRNA from 1 species
AUUGAACGCUGGCGGCAGGCCUAAUACAUGCAAGUCGAGCGGAGCGGCGGACGGGCGAGUAAUGCCUAGGAAUCUGCCUGGCAGUUGGGGAUAACGUCCAGAAACGGGCGCUAAUAUCGUAUACUCUCAGAUGAGCCUAUGGCGGAUUAGCUCGUUGGUGGGGUAAAGGCCUACAAAGGCGACGAUCCGUAACUGGUCUGAGAGGAUGAUCAGCCACACUGGAACUGAGACACGGUCCAGACUCCUACGGGAGGCAGCAGUGGGGAAUAUUGGACAAUGGGCGAAAGCCGGAUCCAGCAAUGCCGCGUGUGUGAAGAAGGUCUUCGGAUUGUAAAGCACUGUAAGAUGGGAAGCGGUACCAACAGAGUAAGCACCGGCUAACUUCGUGCCAGCAGCCGCGGUAAUUC